rnacentral:lncRNA from 1 species
AUGGCAUUUGUCUUGCAGUUUUGUCGUACCCCAAGAGAGGUAGUCAUUUUCGAACAACAAUGCCAUGAUUUCUGCCUCCGUUCAACUAAAUUACCAUGUUCAUCUAGUUCUGACCUGAAGGGAAGUAAGCCUUCUACUAAGCAUGGUGGCAGGCACGGUCAGUCCAGAGGUUUGAGCAGAGCACAAGAGGAUGACGACACUUGAAUUACCAUGUGGAAGAUCAUAUGCUGAACAUCUGAAUCAGACUGUGACUUAGAAAAAAAAAACUUCAUUGUAAUAAACCAUUAAAAUUUGGGGGAUCAUUUGUUAUGUUAGCUAGCUUUAGUUACCUUAUCAAGCCCAGGCUCCAAAGAGCAAAGAGAAAAA